rnacentral:ncRNA from 1 species
AUAAAAAUUUAUGAUUUUUAGAAUUUAUUUUAAAUUUAAUUUACAUAUAAAUUUUAGUGUUAAUUUUUUUUUAUUUUAAUAAUUUAAUAAUUUAUUUCAUAGUAAUUAAUAUUAAAUAUUUAAGAAAUUAAGAUUUAGUAAUAUUAAAAUUAAUAACAAAUUUUGUGCCAGCAGUUGCGGUUAUACAAAAAUUUAAUUAAAUUUUUUCAGUUAUAAUUAAUAAUAAUAAUAUAAAUUAAAAAUUAAAUUAUUAAGUGAAAUUUUAAUUUAAUUAAAAUUUAUUUAUUUUAUAUGAUUUAAUAAAUUUAUAAAUAAACUAGGAUUAGAUACCCUAUUAUAAUAAAAAUAAAAUAUAAUACUAAAAUAGUAAAUGAAUUAUUAUUGAAACUUAAAUAAUUUGGCGGUAUUUUAGUUCAUUUAGAGGAAUCUGUUUAUUAAUUGAUAGUCCACGAAUAAUUUUACCUAAUUUAAUAUUUUAUAUAUCGUUGUUAAAAAAAUAUUUUUAAAUAAUAAUAAUAUUUAAAAUUUUUUAUUAUAAAUUAAUUCAGAUCAAGAUGUAGAUUAUAAUUAGGAUUAUAAUGGAUUACAAUAAAAUUAUUUAAAUGAAUAUUAUUUUGAAAUAUUUAAUUAAAGGUGGAUUUAAAUGUAAUUUUAUUUAAUUUGAUAAAAUGAUUAAAAAUUAAAAUAUGUACAUAUUGCCCGUCGCUUUCAUUUAAAAAUUGAAAUAAGUCGUAACAAAGUAGAGGUACUGGAAAGUGUUUCUAGAAAGA